rnacentral:rRNA from 1 species
GACGAACGCUGGCGGCGUGCCUAAUACGUGCAAGUCGAACGCUUCUUUCCUCCCGAGUGCUUGCACUCAAUUGGAAAGAGGAGUGGCGGACGGGUGAGUAACACGUGGGUAACCUACCCAUCAGAGGGGGAUAACACUUGGAAACAGGUGCUAAUACCGCAUAACAGUUUAUGCCGCAUGGCAUAAGAGUGAAAGGCGCUUUCGGGUGUCGCUGAUGGAUGGACCCGCGGUGCAUUAGCUAGUUGGUGAGGUAACGGCUCACCAAGGCCACGAUGCAUAGCCGACCUGAGAGGGUGAUCGGCCACACUGGGACUGAGACACGGCCCAGACUCCUACGGGAGGCAGCAGUAGGGAAUCUUCGGCAAUGGACGAAAGUCUGACCGAGCAACGCCGCGUGAGUGAAGAAGGUUUUCGGAUCGUAAAACUCUGUUGUUAGAGAAGAACAAGGACGUUAGUAACUGAACGUCCCCUGACGGUAUCUAACCAGAAAGCCACGGCUAACUACGUGCCAGCAGCCGCGGUAAUACGUAGGUGGCAAGCGUUGUCCGGAUUUAUUGGGCGUAAAGCGAGCGCAGGCGGUUUCUUAAGUCUGAUGUGAAAGCCCCCGGCUCAACCGGGGAGGGUCAUUGGAAACUGGGAGACUUGAGUGCAGAAGAGGAGAGUGGAAUUCCAUGUGUAGCGGUGAAAUGCGUAGAUAUAUGGAGGAACACCAGUGGCGAAGGCGGCUCUCUGGUCUGUAACUGACGCUGAG